GACGAACGCUGGCGGCGUGCUUAACACAUGCAAGUCGUACGGUAAGGCCCUUUCGGGGGUACACGAGUGGCGCACGGGUGAGUAACACGUGAGUAACCUGCCCACAACUUUGGGAUAACGCUAGGAAACUGGUGCUAAUACUGGAUAUGUGCUCCUGCUGCAUGGUGGGGGUUGGAAAGCUCCGGCGGUUGUGGAUGGACUCGCGGCCUAUCAGCUUGUUGGUGGGGUAGUGGCCUACCAAGGCGGCGACGGGUAGCCGGCCUGAGAGGGUGACCGGCCACAUUGGGACUGAGAUACGGCCCAGACUCCUACGGGAGGCAGCAGUGGGGAAUAUUGCACAAUGGGCGCAAGCCUGAUGCAGCAACGCCGCGUGCGGGAUGACGGCCUGCGGGUUGUAAACCGCUUUCAGCAGGGACGAAGCUUUUUGUGACGGUACCUGCAGAAGAAGCACCGGCUAACUACGUG
rnacentral:rRNA from 1 species